GAUGAACGCUGACAGCAUGCUUAACACAUGCAAGUCGACUUGAACUUCGGUUCGGGUGUCGGACGGGUGAGUGACGCAUAAAGAACUUGCCUCACAGCUAGGGACAACAUUUGGAAACGAAUGCUAAUACCUGAUAUUAUGAUUUUAGGGCAUCCUAGAUUUAUGAAAGCUAUAUGCGCUGUGAGAGAGCUUUGCGUCCCAUUAGCUAGUUGGAGAGGUAACGGCUCACCAAGGCGAUGAUGGGUAGCCGGCCUGAGAGGGUGAACGGCCACAAGGGGACUGAGAUACGGCCCUUACUCCUACGGGAGGCAGCAGUGGGGAAUAUUGGACAAUGGACCAAGAGUCUGAGCAAGCAAUUCGGGGUGCAGAAGGAAGUUUUUCGGAAGGAAAAGUGCUUUGAGUUGGGAAGAGAAAAAUGACGGUACCAACAGAAGAAGUCACGGCUAAAUACGUG
rnacentral:rRNA from 1 species